rnacentral:lncRNA from 1 species
UGAUUUUUAUUUUUAUUCAUUUAAAACAUAGAGUGUUGCCCUUAAGUGAGGAAAAGAUCCCAAAGUGGACAAAACAAAAGAUCCCAAAGAGGACAAAUUAGAGAUAAAAAGAAAGAGACAAAGAGGCCACAAAAAAAUAAAAAAUAAAGAGAAAAGAAAAAGAAAAUAAAAAGAGAGAAGGGGCCAACACUACUAUCCCUUUUGAAAGAUCCACACUCGUACUCCAUUAAUAUAUUGGUACUACAUAGAGAUUAUCAUUCAUGCAUAACUAUGUGGAGACCUUACACUAUAGAACUUGGUUUGCAUAUUCCAAUGAUGAGCCUCCUGAAAUGAGCUCUAUGUCUUCAUGAGCAAACAAGUUGGAUGCACCCCUGCUAGUUCCAUUGGAGAGCUUACCUUAGCUCAUAUGUGCAUCUGUUACAUGGCAAUCCCUACUCCUCACAUCAUAUCUAUCAUUUGGCUUUCUCUCACCUAUGAUUGUCCUCAUUGAUGUGAGCCUUUCACACCUUUUUGUCUUCCUUCCCCAUCAUUAUUCUAUUUGCCAUCCUAACUGCCAACAUAUCUUGCUUACGUCAUCCAUUGCAUGAGUGCUCAAAGUCGAAUGGGAGGGGAUCAUCUUUAUUUGUGCCUGACUAGUGGUCUGGGGAUGAGUCAAAAUAAGAUUCCGAAGGAGACCAAGUGUGAAAUAUUAGUAGAUUGAGUUCUCAAUUAAAAAAAUAUUCGAUGAUCUCAACCCAUCUCCCACUUCUUGCACACAAACACCAUUUGGAGACAUUCGAGUCACGG